rnacentral:sRNA from 1 species
AUUUUUCCCUGAAUGAGGUAAGCUUUUAAAUAUUUAUAUUGCAAUCUGUAUUUCAUGUUUCUCCACGUCCUGAUUUGUGUUUAUUUGCCAUGGUUAGAUAUUUACCCAUAUUUUCUUAUAGUUAAUUUUUUUGUUUAAUUUUUAAUUCAUUUGAAAUUAUGUUGAAACUUUUUUCACAGUCUCAUAUGGCAUUUGGUCCAUGCCCAAAAGACUAAACAAGGGCAUGCUUGGAAAUUGCAAAAUGUAAAGGCUUAGACAUGCUAUGGUAGUAUACAGACUCUUCGAGCAAAGAUUCCAAGAACCUUCUGGAUUCAGGUUUCUUUUGACAGCCCAACCUAUUCUCUUAUGAGGGAGUUGUAACCUCAGCCCACAGUUUCCUAAAGAUUUCUGAUGAGUUCUUGGGGCGCUGGGGUCGUGAUCACAGGCAGUACACCUGUUUUCAUGGUCGAAGAUGUUACUUGAUUUUCUCACAUGCCUUGCCUGCUAUUAAUAAGAUACACAGAAUUAGGGACUUUUGCUAUGGAUUAUUCAGACAAACAGCCUCAAACCUCAAACCAUCUCAAGCCAUGCCUACAUUAUCUUUGUCAAAGGGUCAAAGGUUAUAGGAGCAUUUGGAAUUUUAUUUUAAUUCUUCACUUGCACUUUUUGGGACAGUGUGCAGGUGGGUUGCUGGGGCCAAGAUACAGCAGAGGCCAAUCAGAACUCAGAAGAAAUGUGGCAGGAGCAGGAAGAAGACAGAACAAAUUCUACUCGUUGAAAGGCCUCAAGUUCUGGGUGAUUAUGAACCUGAACCCCAGGAUCUAGAAAUAGAUGUUGCAAUGGAAAUCAGUGUCAGAUUAGCAGGGCAGAUGUUUAAAUGGCCCAAGAUAGAUGCAAAUGCUUUGACUUCGUAAAAAUAAUUAUUGCCAAUUGAAGCCCCAAGGAGUCAAAGCAGCCUUUCUGUCUAUAUCCUCCGCUGUGUGUGCCCUCCCACCCUCCUGUAAAAGCAACUAAGGGAAGCCCACGGCUGCUGAAUGGCAAGUUGAGACUGAGAGGGUCCCUUGGUGGGCUGUAAGCGUUUGACUGGAGAAAGGAGGGUGAUUUUUUUUUUUCUCAUAGGCACCAGCAAAGAGGCAUCUAACAAGGAGAUGACCUUCAAGCCUGUCUCCAUACCUAGAUAUUUGAGUGCACAGCCUGGAGAUAGAGGGCAGGGACUGUGGCGAGGCCGCCGCCCAGUGGAUAACCAGCUUCCUGAAGUCACAGCCCUACCGCCUGGUGCACUUCGAGCCUCACAUGCGACCGAGACGUCCUCAUCAAAUAGCAGACUUGUUCCGACCCAAGGACCAGAUUGCUUACUCAGACACCAGCCCAUUCUUGAUCCUUUCUGAGGCGUCGCUGGCGGAUCUCAACUCCAGGCUAGAGAAGAAAGUUAAAGCAACCAACUUCAGGCCCAAUAUUGUAAUUUCAGGAUGCGAUGUCUAUGCAGAGGAUUCUUGGGAUGAGCUUCUUAUUGGUGACGUGGAACUGAAAAGGGUGAUGGCUUGUUCCAGAUGCAUUUUAACCACAGUGGACCCAGACACCGGUGUCAUGAGCAGGAAGGAACCGCUGGAAACACUGAAGAGUUAUCGCCAGUGUGACCCUUCAGAACGAAAGUUAUAUGGAAAAUCACCACUCUUUGGGCAGUAUUUUGUGCUGGAAAACCCAGGGACCAUCAAAGUGGGAGACCCUGUGUACCUGCUGGGCCAGUAAUGGGAACCGUAUGUCCUGGAAUAUUAGACGCCUUUUAAAAAUGUUCUCAAAAAUGACAACACUUGAAGCAUGGUGUUUCAGAACUGAGACCUCUACAUUUUCUUUAAAUUUGUGAUUUUCACAUUUUUUGUCUUUUGGACUUCUGGUGUCUCAAUGCUUCAAUGUCCCAGUGCAAAAAGUAAAGAAAUAUAGUCUCAAUAACUUAGUAGGACUUCAGUAAGUCACUUAAAUGACAAGACAGGAUUCUGAAAACUCCCCGUUUAACUGAUUAUGGAAUAGUUCUUUCUCCUGCUUCUCCGUUUAUCUACCAAGAGCGCAGACUUGCAUCCUGUCACUACCACUUGUUAGAGAAAGAGAAGAAGAGAAAGAGGAAGAGUGGGUGGGCUGGAAGAAUGUCCUAGAAUGUGUUAUUGCCCCUGUUCAUGAGGUACGCAAUGAAAAUUAAAUUGCUCCCCAAAUAUGGCUGGAAUGCCACUUCCCUUUUCUUCUCAAGCCCCGGGCUAGCUUUUGAAAUGGCGUAAAGACUGAGGUGACCUUCAGGAAGCACUGCAGAUAUUAAUUUUCCAUAGAUCUGGAUCUGGCCCUGCUGCUUCUCAGACAGCAUUGGAUUUCCUAAAGGUGCUCAGGAUGAUGGUUGUGUAGUCAUGGAGGACCCCUGGAUCCUUGCCAUUCCCCUCAGCUAAUGACGGAGUGCUCCUUCUCCAGUUCCGGGUGAAAAAGUUCUGAAUUCUGUGGAGGAGAAGAAAAGUGAUUCAGUGAUUUCAGAUAGACUACUGAAAACGUUUAAAGGGGGAAAAGGAAAGCAUAUGUCAGUUGUUUAAAACCCAAUAUCUAUUUUUUAACUGAUUGUAUAACUCUAAGAUCUGAUGAAGUAUAUUUUUUAUUGCCAUUUUGUCCUUUGAUUAUAUUGGGAAGUUGACUAAACUUGAAAAAUGUUUUUAAAACUGUGAAUAAAUGGAAGCUACUUUGACUAGU